AAGUCGUAACAAGGUCUCCGUUGGUGAACCAGCNNAGGGAUCAUUACAGAGUUGCAAAACUCCCACAAACCAUCGCGAAUCUUACCCGUACGGUCGCCUCGGCGCUGGCGGUCCGGAAGGCCCUCGGGCCCCCGGAUCCUCGGGUCUCCCGCUCGCGGGAGGCUGCCCGCCGGAGUGCCGAAACCAAACUCUUGAUAUUUUAUGUCUCUCUGAGUAAACUUUUAAAUAAGUCAAAACUUUCAACAACGGAUCUCUUGGUUCUGGCAUCGAUGAAGAACGCAGCGAAAUGCGAUAAGUAAUGUGAAUUGCAGAAUUCAGUGAAUCAUCGAAUCUUUGAACGCACAUUGCGCUCGCCAGUAUUCUGGCGAGCAUGCCUGUUCGAGCGUCAUUUCAACCAUCAAGCUCUGCUUGCGUUGGGGAUCCGCGGCUGCCCGCGGUCCCUCAAAAACAGUGGCGGGCUCGCUAGUCACACCGAGCGUAGUAACUCUACAUCGCUAUGGUCGUGCGGCGGGUUCUUGCCGUAAAACCCCCCAAUUUCUAAGGUUGACCUCGGAUCAGGUAGGAGUACCCGCUGAACUUAA
rnacentral:rRNA from 1 species